CACGUAGGGGGCGAGCGUUGUCCGGAUUUAUUGGGCGUAAAGAGCUCGUAGGCGGCUCAGUAAGUCAGGUGUGAAAACUCCAGGCUCAACCUGGAGACGCCACCUGAUACUGCUGUGGCUAGAGUCCGGUAGGGGAGCAUGGAAUUCCUGGUGUAGCGGUGAAAUGCGCAGAUAUCAGGAGGAACACCGGUGGCGAAGGCGGUUCUCUGGGCCUUACCUGACGCUGAGGAGCGAAAGCAUGGGGAGCAAACAGG
rnacentral:rRNA from 1 species